UGCCAGACUCCUACGGGAGGCAGCAGUGGGGGAUAUUGCACAAUGGGGGGAACCCUGAUGCAGCGACGCCGCGUGGGUGAAGGAGCGUUUCGGCGCGUAAAGCCCUAUCGGCAGGGAAGAAGGAGGACGGUACCUGACUAAGAAGCCCCGGCUAACUACGUGCCAGCAGCCGCGGGAAUACGUAGGGGGCAAGCGUUAUCCGGAUUUACUGGGUGUAAAGGGGGCGCAGACGGCAGCGCAAGCCAGGAGUGAAAGCCCGGGGCCCAACCCCGGGACUGCUCUGGAAACUGCGGCGCUGGAGUACGGGAGGGGCAGGCGGAAUUCCUGGUGUAGCGGUGAAAUGCGUAGAUAUCAGGAGGAACACCGGCGGCGAAGGCGGCCUGCUGGACCGUGACUGACGUUGAGGCUCGAGGGCGUGGGGAGCAAACAGGAUUAGAUACCCUAGUA
rnacentral:rRNA from 1 species